rnacentral:misc_RNA from 1 species
GAUGAAGAACGUAGCGAAAUGCGAUAAGUAAUGUGAAUUGCAGAAUUCAGUGAAUCAUCGAGUCUUUGAACGCACAUUGCGCCCCCUGGUAUUCCGGGGGGCAUGCCUGUCCGAGCGUCAUUGCUGCCCUCAAGCACGGCUUGUGUGUUGGGCCGUCGUCCCCCUCCUAGGGGACGGGCCCGAAAGGCAGCGGCGGCACCGCGUCCGGUCCUCGAGCGUAUGGGGCUUCGUCACCCGCUCCGUAGGCCCGGCCGGCGCUUGCCGACGACCAUCAUUCUCUUUCUCCAGGUUGACCUCGGAUCAGGUAGGGAUACCCGCUGAACUUAAGCAUAUCAAUAAGCGGAGGA